ACAAAAUAUGUUUUAAACGACGCUUUUUUUAGACGACGCUUUAUUCUAGCGUCUUUAAUAUUCGACAUUUGCCGACACUAUGAUUAUGUGUCGCCAAUAAACAUAUUUUUAUCAAAUAUUUAUAAAAAUUUUUCGACGCAAUAUUAAAACGUCGGUAUAUUUAUCCCGACAUGUUUACUUAACGACUCUUUACUCGACGCUUUUACAAGCGUCGAGAUUAUUUUUGCCGACGCUUUAAACCGUCACUAAUUAU
rnacentral:lncRNA from 1 species